rnacentral:rRNA from 1 species
AGAGUUUGAUCCUGGCUCAGAUUGAACGCUGGCGGCAUGCCUUACACAUGCAAGUCGAACGGUAACAGGGAGCUUGCUCCGCUGACGAGUGGCGAACGGGUGAGUAAUGUAUCGGAACGUACCUUUCAGUGGGGGAUAACGUAGCGAAAGUUGCGCUAAUACCGCAUAUUCUGUGAGCAGGAAAGCAGGGGAUCGCAAGACCUUGCGCUGAUUGAGCGGCCGAUAUCAGAUUAGCUAGUUGGUGAGGUAACGGCUCACCAAGGCAACGAUCUGUAGCGGGUCUGAGAGGAUGAUCCGCCACACUGGGACUGAGACACGGCCCAGACUCCUACGGGAGGCAGCAGUGGGGAAUUUUGGACAAUGGGGGCAACCCUGAUCCAGCCAUGCCGCGUGAGUGAAGAAGGCCUUCGGGUUGUAAAGCUCUUUCGGUCGGGAAGAAAUCGCAUGGACUAAUACUCUGUGCGGAUGACGGUACCGGCAUAAGAAGCACCGGCUAACUACGUGCCAGCAGCCGCGGUAAUACGUAGGGUGCGAGCGUUAAUCGGAAUUACUGGGCGUAAAGCGUGCGCAGGCGGUUUUGUAAGACAGGCGUGAAAUCCCCGGGCUCAACCUGGGAACUGCGCUUGUGACUGCAAGGCUAGAGUACGGCAGAGGGGGGUGGAAUUCCACGUGUAGCAGUGAAAUGCGUAGAGAUGUGGA